AUUAGAUACCCUGGUAGUCCACACGGUAAACGAUGAAUACUCGCUGUUUGCGAUAUACAGCAAGCGGCCAAGCGAAAGCGUUAAGUAUUCCACCUGGGGAGUACGCCGGCAACGGUGAAACUCAAAGGAAUUGACGGGGGCCCGCACAAGCGGAGGAACAUGUGGUUUAAUUCGAUGAUACGCGAGGAACCUUACCCGGGCUUAAAUUGCAGAUGAAUUACGGUGAAAGCCGUAAGCCGCAAGGCAUCUGUGAAGGUGCUGCAUGGUUGUCGUCAGCUCGUGCCGUGAGGUGUCGGCUUAAGUGCCAUAACGAGCGCAACCCUUGUUGUCAGUUACUAACAGGUUCCGCUGAGGACUCUGACAAGACUGCCAUCGUAAGAUGUGAGGAAGGUGGGGAUGACGUCAAAUCAGCACGGCCCUUACGUCCGGGGCUACACACGUGUUACAAUGGGGGGUACAGAGGGUCGCUACCACGCGAGUGGAUGCCAAUCCCCAAAACCUCUCUCAGUUCGGACUGGAGUCUGCAACCCGACUCCACGAAGCUGGAUUCGCUAGUAAUCGCGCAUCAGCCACGGCGCGGUGAAUACGUUCCCGGGCCUUGUACACACCGCCCGUCAAGCCAUGAAAGCCGGGGGCGCCUGAAGUCCGUGACCGCGAGAGGCGGCCUAGGGUGAAACCGGUGAUUGGGGCUAAGUCGUAACAA
rnacentral:rRNA from 1 species